AUUGAACGCUGGCGGCAUGCCUAACACAUGCAAGUCGCACGCGAAAGGGGGCAACCCUGAGUAGAGUGGCGGACGGGUGAGUAACGCGUAGGAAUCUACCUGGUAGUGGGGGACAACCCGGUGAAAACCGGGCUAAUACCGCAUACGAUCCACGGAUGAAAGCAGGGGACCGCAAGGCCUUGCGCGCUCAGAUGAGCCGGCGUCGGAUUAGCUAGUUGGUGGGGUAAAGGCCCACCAAGGCGACGAUCCGUAGCUGGUUUGAGAGAACGACCAGCCACACUGGGACUGAGACACGGCCCAGACUCCUACGGGAGGCAGCAGUGGGGAAUGUUGGACAAUGGGGGCAACCCUGAUCCAGCAAUGCCGCGUGUGUGAAGAAGGCCUUCGGGUUGUAAAGCACUUUCGGUGGGGACAAACAAGGUGGAGCUAACAUCUCCGCCUCUGAUGGUACCCAAAGAAGAAGCACCGGCUAACUCUGUGCCAGCCGCCGCGGUAA
rnacentral:rRNA from 1 species